UGGGGAAUAUUGCACAAUGGGCGCAAGCCUGAUGCAGCCAUGCCGCGUGUAUGAAGAAGGCCUUCGGGUUGUAAAGUACUUUCAGCGAGGAGGAAGGCGUUGUGGUUAAUAACCGCAGCGAUUGACGUUACUCGCAGAAGAAGCACCGGCUAACUCCGUGCCAGCAGCCGCGGUAAUACGGAGGGUGCAAGCGUUAAUCGGAAUUACUGGGUGUAAAGCGCACGCAGGCGGUCUGUCAAGUCGGAUGUGAAAUCCCCGGGCUCAACCUGGGAACUGCAUCCGAAACUGGCAGGAUAGAGUCUUGUAGAGGGGGGUAGAAUUCCAGGUGUAGCGGUGAAAUGCGUAGAGAUCUGGAGGAAUACCGGUGGCGAAGGCGGCCCCCUGGACAAAGACUGACGCUCAGGUGCGAAAGCGUGGGGAGCAAACA
rnacentral:rRNA from 1 species